UUAGUGAACUUAUGAGAGAUGUUUAUAUUGAGUUUCUUUCUCUUUUAUCUCCCAUCUAUCUAUAAUCUAUUCUAUAUUUUCUUUAAUCUAUUUUCUUUAGUUCUUCACUAGAACAAUUAUGAUCUAGAAGUCAAUCCGAGGCAAGUGUUCGGAUCUAUUAUGACAUAGCAGUGAGGCGCUCAACGGACCUUUUUUAAUCUUCUAAAACAUUUUCUGAGUUUUGAAUUGAAGUUAAAUAGUUUUUUUAUGCAACCUAGCUAGCGUAUUCAGAUUUUAAUUAGAAAGUUCCUAGAUAGAACUUUUUUAACUUUCGGUCUUACAUAGAAGAUAUUAUGAAGAUAUUAUUAUGUACUCUAUUUCAAAUCACGUGAGCAAUCAUUAGCAUUACUAGGGGACAUACUGGUAUUUCUAUUUAGUUUUUCGAAAGUCUCUUUUAUUAGUUUGAAUAAUCUAAAAAAUAAAAUUUUCUACUUACUGUAUUCACGUCUCGUUUAUCUCUACAAAAUACCAGAUGAAAUAGAACUCUUUUAGAAGGGAUAUAAUGAAAUUCUUUGAUGAGUUCUUCCUCGAUAAACGAUAUUUUUUAUUUAACUGAUGGGGACAACAAACAAAAAAUUAUAACAAAUUAAAUAUAUAAUAAAUAGAUCAAAUAUCAAAAUAGAAUAGAUAAAAAGAAAUAUAAAAAAUAUAAAUAAUAAACAGAGUGUUCUUAUUCAAAACGUCCUGUGAUCUUCAACCAAUUCUGUGCUUCAAUAUAAUUACCAGGGGUAAGGGCUAUAGCUUGUUUCCAAUAUUCAGCGGCCUGAUCAAACCAAGCCUCCGCAAUUUCCGAAUAUCCCUGUCGAAUGGCCUGUUCUCCGCGUCGCACGUAAUGACAGAUCACGGCCAUAUUAUUAAAAGCUUGGGGUAAGAAGGGGUUUCGUUCGAGUGCCCUA